GGCUUCGUGGUCUAGUGGUAUGAUUCCUGCUUUGGGUAGUUACUCAAAUCUGCAGGAGGCCCCGCGUUCGAAUCGCGGCGGAGCCC